AUGAAGCUGGAGCUGGGGCUGGCCACCGAGAACCUUCCUUCCUCCCCUCCCCAGCAAGGGGCAUGUCCCACCAAGCCCGGACGGCCCAUCUGCCCCUGCAGGGUCCCCCGCUCUGGUCGUGGGCUUGGUGAGCUCUGCUGCCCGGCCUCGGGAGUCUGGGGGAGCGCGGCGUCGACCCCUGUGGAGGGAGGACUCCUGUUUCAAGGACAGAGCCUCAUUACCAUGCACGACCAGCCGCAGCCGAGGCCGCAGAGGCCUUUGGCAGGGGGGCCGGGCGGGUGGCAGGGACUGGGUUGGCGGUGGUGGACAGGAGUGGGGGGUCUGUCCUCAACAGGUGGGGCUGGUCUGUGUGCUGGCCCCUGCCAUGCGAUGGCACCCAGGACUCUGGUCCUCCUUCUAAGCCCCAGCAUGUGCCUGGUGCUACGUGGGUGCUGGAGGCACGGCAGCUUCCACGCAGCCGCCCGCAGCAUCACAGCCUGUGCACCGCACAUCCACGCCCUGUUACAAAUGUUCCGUUCAACGCCUUCUAGCACAUUCACAGAUCGUCCGCCGGCACCUCUAGUUCCAGAACUUUCCAUCGCCCCCAAAGGGAAGCCCCGUCCCCUUCAGCAGUCAAUCCCAGCCCCUCCCCAGCCCUGGCCCUGUCUCUGCGGAUUGGCCUGUCCUGGACCAGAUCGUCUGUGGCCUUCAGGCAAUGGGGAGCCAUGGGAGGAUAAGGAGCAAGAACAUGGUGAGAUGUGGGCUGCAGUUGGAAGGCGCGUCCAGCUCUGCGUGGUCCAACCCCGCGUCGCCCUGCCUCCCCCAAACCUGGAAAGUCUUGACUCUCGGCUGCACCUCCAUCUUGAGAGAGCAGGGCGCUACUAUCUCCCUCUGCAACCCGUCACCCACACGCAGAGCUGUGGCCAACGACGGAGCGUGGGGAGGCUGAACUGAACGCCGGGUGCUGAACCAAUGGCCCCUUGUCCACUCCAGAGCCAGGACAAGAACUCAGGGGUCCCCACCUGAAUUGGCCACUGACUGCCUUGGGCAGAGACAUCGAAGUCUCUGAGCCUCAGUUUCCUCUUCUGCAAAAGGGAACCAACCGCAGGGUUCCCAGUCGUCUCCCCGGAACGAGCGAGUGAGAGGUCGGGUGAGGAGUUUCCUUCCAGGGAAGUGUCCACUGAGUGCUGGCUGGGGUCAGGAGCCCCAAGUCCUAGGCCCUGGUCUGCUCCUGGCCAUGCGUUCACCUCAUUCAUUCAUUCAACAAGCAUUCACAAGCAUUCAUUCAUUCAUUCAACAAGCAUUCAUUCAACAAUCAUUCAUUCAUUCAACAAUCCAUUCAUUCAUUCAACAAGCCAUUCAUUCAUCCAACAAGCAUUCAUUCCUUCUUUCAACAAUCAUUCUUUCAACAAGCAUUCAUUCGUUCAUUCAACAAGCAUUCAUUCAUUCAACAAGCACUUAAAAACAAUGCCUGUGUGCCAGGCACUGCUUUUAAGAGAAACAGCAGUGAAGAAAACAGACAAAUCCCUGCAUUCUGUUUAUGGGCGAGAAGCAGAAGAAACAAGGAAAGCCAGCUGUCACAUGGUGGGCCAUGGUAUGGGAAAAAACAAACAGGGAAGGGGGGCUUGGGGUUGGCAGGAUGGGGUUGGCAGAAUGAAGGCCUCCCCACAGCUAACCCGUUCUAAUCCCCGGAACUGCAGAUAAAGCCAGCUUACAUGGAAAAAGGGCCUCUGCAGAUGGGAUUAAGUAAGAAUUGUGAGAUCAGGAGAUCAUCCCGGAUCAUCCAGAGGCCCAACAUCCUCACAGGGUCCUCACGAGAGGAGGCAGGAGGGUGCAAGUCAGAGACAGAUUGGAAGAGGCUGCACUGAGGCUAUGAAGGGAGAGGGUGGGGCCCUGAGCCAAGGGAUGCGGGUGCCUCUGGGCACUGGGAAGGGCAGGAACCGGAUUUUCGCCUGGAGCGCGCAGGAGGGCCCAGCCUUGCCCAUGUCCUGUGUGUGUGUUUUCUUUUUUUUUUUGUUUUUUUAGACAGAGUCUCGCUCUAUCGCCCAGGCUGGAGUGCAGUGGCACAAUCUCAGCUCACUGCAACCUCUGCCUCCCAGGUUCAAGUGAUUCUCCUGCCUCAGCCUCCUGAGUAGCUGGAACUACAGGCGCCCGCCAUCACGCCCAGCUAAUUUUUUGUACUUUUAGUAGAGAUGGAGUUUCACUCUGUUGGCCAGGCUGUUCUUGAUCUCCUGACCUCAGGUGAUCCACCUGCCUCGGCCUCCCAAAGUGCUGGGAUUACGGGCGUGAGCCACCGCACCCAGCCUUAUGCCCUGGUUUGAUGCCAGUGAGGUCCAUUUUGGACUCAGGCCUCCAGAACGGUCAGAUAAUAAAUGUGUGUGGUUCUUAGCCA
ensembl:lncRNA